GAUGAACGCUAGCUACAGGCCUAACACAUGCAAGUCGAGGGACCGGGGCACGGGAGAGUAACACGUAUCCAACCUGCCCUUUACUCGGGGAUAGCCUUUCGCAAGAAAGAUUAAUACCCGAUAGAAAGGAUGGGGAUGCGGUUCGUUAGGUUGUUGGUGAGGUAACGGCUCACCAAGCCUUCGAUGGAUAGGGGAUCUGAGGGGAAGGUCCCCUACAUUGGAACUGCGACACGGUCCAAACUCCUAGGGAGUGCAGCGGUGAGGAAUAUUGGUCAAUGGAGGCUAGCCUGAACCAGCCGAGUAGCGUGAAGGAUGAAGGGUUAUUGGUCGAAAACUUCUUUUAUAUAAGAAUAUGUAUUAUAUGAAUAAGGAUCGGCUAACUCCGUGCCAGCAGCCGCGGUAAUUC
rnacentral:rRNA from 1 species